rnacentral:lncRNA from 1 species
AAAGACUUUUAGGGCAUUUCAAAUUCUGCUCAAAGGUCGGAAAGGCCCUUCCGCCCUCCACGUUUGUUUUAGUGCCAUUUGUGCGUUAUUUUUAUAAAGUUACCUCAUGAAUUAUUCAUAAACAGAGCAGACGUAGCGUAAAGUAAGACAAGCAGCACAAAAAAGUAAAAGAAGAAGAAAAAUAAAAGGGAAAAAUCGUUAAGUUUUGCCUUCUUUCUAGGAAAACACUCGAGAUGGAAGGACAAGUUUGCUGGAGGAAGCCUUUAGCAAAUACGAAAAUCAGAUUAAAUUAUGGCAAAGUUUCUAAUUGGUUUGUUAUUAAGACAGCGAUUACCAUAAAUUACAAUUGAAAUAGGGAAAAUGGUUAAAGCAUUCUGCUCUGUUCUACAACAAAUGGCUAAGCAAAUUAACUGUGGCCCUGAAAUGAACAAUGAACAGAGAACUCUUGGCUCAUGUUUAAUGCACUUGACAGUGCCAGAACUCCGUCUGCCGGUCGCUGGUCGAGAGACCUUCAAGGAAACCUCUAAAGUUAUGACUUUUACGCCCCAUUAUCGCUUAAAUAAUUUAGUCGGCCAAAAGAAACGAAAACAACACGAAAAAGGGAAAAUUGCUAGAAAUAAGAGAAGAAAAAAUAAAUAUCCUCG